rnacentral:rRNA from 1 species
GGGUUGUGAGGUUAAGCGACUAAGCGUACACGGUGGAUGCCCUGGCAGUCAGAGGCGAUGAAGGACGUGCUAAUCUGCGAUAAGCGUCGGUAAGGUGAUAUGAACCGUUAUAACCGGCGAUUUCCGAAUGGGGAAACCCAGUGUGAUUCGUCACACUAUCAUUAACUGAAUCCAUAGGUUAAUGAGGCGAACCGGGGGAACUGAAACAUCUAAGUACCCCGAGGAAAAGAAAUCAACCGAGAUUCCCCCAGUAGCGGCGAGCGAACGGGGAGCAGCCCAGAGCCUGAAUCAGUGUGUGUGUUAGUGGAAGCGUCUGGAAAGGCGUGCGAUACAGGGUGACAGCCCCGUACACAAAAAUGCACAUACUGUGAGCUCGAUGAGUAGGGCGGGACACGUGGUAUCCUGUCUGAAUAUGGGGGGACCAUCCUCCAAGGCUAAAUACUCCUGACUGACCGAUAGUGAACCAGUACCGUGAGGGAAAGGCGAAAAGAACCCCGGCGAGGGGAGUGAAAAAGAACCUGAAACCGUGUACGUACAAGCAGUGGGAGCACGCUUCGGCGUGUGACUGCGUACCUUUUGUAUAAUGGGUCAGCGACUUAUAUUCUGUAGCAAGGUUAACCGAAUAGGGGAGCCGAAGGGAAACCGAGUCUUAACUGGGCGUUAAGUUGCAGGGUAUAGACCCGAAACCCGGUGAUCUAGCCAUGGGCAGGUUGAAGGUUGGGUAACACUAACUGGAGGACCGAACCGACUAAUGUUGAAAAAUUAGCGGAUGACUUGUGGCUGGGGGUGAAAGGCCAAUCAAACCGGGAGAUAGCUGGUUCUCCCCGAAAGCUAUUUAGGUAGCGCCUCGUGAAUUCAUCUCCGGGGGUAGAGCACUGUUUCGGCAAGGGGGUCAUCCCGACUUACCAACCCGAUGCAAACUGCGAAUACCGGAGAAUGUUAUCACGGGAGACACACGGCGGGUGCUAACGUCCGUCGUGAAGAGGGAAACAACCCAGACCGCCAGCUAAGGUCCCAAAGUCAUGGUUAAGUGGGAAACGAUGUGGGAAGGCCCAGACAGCCAGGAUGUUGGCUUAGAAGCAGCCAUCAUUUAAAGAAAGCGUAAUAGCUCACUGGUCGAGUCGGCCUGCGCGGAAGAUGUAACGGGGCUAAACCAUGCACCGAAGCUGCGGCAGCGACACUGUGUGUUGUUGGGUAGGGGAGCGUUCUGUAAGCCUGUGAAGGUGUACUGUGAGGUAUGCUGGAGGUAUCAGAAGUGCGAAUGCUGACAUAAGUAACGAUAAAGCGGGUGAAAAGCCCGCUCGCCGGAAGACCAAGGGUUCCUGUCCAACGUUAAUCGGGGCAGGGUGAGUCGACCCCUAAGGCGAGGCCGAAAGGCGUAGUCGAUGGGAAACAGGUUAAUAUUCCUGUACUUGGUGUUACUGCGAAGGGGGGACGGAGAAGGCUAUGUUGGCCGGGCGACGGUUGUCCCGGUUUAAGCGUGUAGGCUGGUUUUCCAGGCAAAUCCGGAAAAUCAAGGCUGAGGCGUGAUGACGAGGCACUACGGUGCUGAAGCAACAAAUGCCCUGCUUCCAGGAAAAGCCUCUAAGCAUCAGGUAACAUCAAAUCGUACCCCAAACCGACACAGGUGGUCAGGUAGAGAAUACCAAGGCGCUUGAGAGAACUCGGGUGAAGGAACUAGGCAAAAUGGUGCCGUAACUUCGGGAGAAGGCACGCUGAUAUGUAGGUGAAGCGACUUGCUCGUGGAGCUGAAAUCAGUCGAAGAUACCAGCUGGCUGCAACUGUUUAUUAAAAACACAGCACUGUGCAAACACGAAAGUGGACGUAUACGGUGUGACGCCUGCCCGGUGCCGGAAGGUUAAUUGAUGGGGUCAGCGCAAGCGAAGCUCUUGAUCGAAGCCCCGGUAAACGGCGGCCGUAACUAUAACGGUCCUAAGGUAGCGAAAUUCCUUGUCGGGUAAGUUCCGACCUGCACGAAUGGCGUAAUGAUGGCCAGGCUGUCUCCACCCGAGACUCAGUGAAAUUGAACUCGCUGUGAAGAUGCAGUGUACCCGCGGCAAGACGGAAAGACCCCGUGAACCUUUACUAUAGCUUGACACUGAACAUUGAGCCUUGAUGUGUAGGAUAGGUGGGAGGCUUUGAAGUGUGGACGCCAGUCUGCAUGGAGCCGACCUUGAAAUACCACCCUUUAAUGUUUGAUGUUCUAACGUGGACCCGUGAUCCGGGUUGCGGACAGUGUCUGGUGGGUAGUUUGACUGGGGCGGUCUCCUCCUAAAGAGUAACGGAGGAGCACGAAGGUUGGCUAAUCCUGGUCGGACAUCAGGAGGUUAGUGCAAUGGCAUAAGCCAGCUUGACUGCGAGCGUGACGGCGCGAGCAGGUGCGAAAGCAGGUCAUAGUGAUCCGGUGGUUCUGAAUGGAAGGGCCAUCGCUCAACGGAUAAAAGGUACUCCGGGGAUAACAGGCUGAUACCGCCCAAGAGUUCAUAUCGACGGCGGUGUUUGGCACCUCGAUGUCGGCUCAUCACAUCCUGGGGCUGAAGUAGGUCCCAAGGGUAUGGCUGUUCGCCAUUUAAAGUGGUACGCGAGCUGGGUUUAGAACGUCGUGAGACAGUUCGGUCCCUAUCUGCCGUGGGCGCUGGAGAACUGAGGGGGGCUGCUCCUAGUACGAGAGGACCGGAGUGGACGCAUCACUGGUGUUCGGGUUGUCAUGCCAAUGGCACUGCCCGGUAGCUAAAUGCGGAAGAGAUAAGUGCUGAAAGCAUCUAAGCACGAAACUUGCCCCGAGAUGAGUUCUCCCUGAGACUAUAAGUCUCCUGAAGGAACGUUGAAGACGACGACGUUGAUAGGCCGGGUGUGUAAGCGCAGCGAUGCGUUGAGCUAACCGGUACUAAUGAACCGUGAGGCUUAACCUUACAACGCCGAAGCUGUU